CCUACGUGCGGCAGCAGUGGGGGAUAUUGCACAAUGGGGGAAACCCUGAUGCAGCGACGCCGCGUGUGGGAAGACGGUCCUCUGGAUUGUAAACCACUGUCCCCAGGGACGAAGAUGACGGUACCUGGGGAGGAAGCUCCGGCUAACUACGUGCCAGCAGCCGCGGUAAUACGUAGGGAGCAAGCGUUGUCCGGAAUUACUGGGUGUAAAGGGAGCGUAGGCGGGAUGGCAAGUUGGGUGUUAAAUCUACCGGCUCAACUGGUAGUCGCACUCAAAACUGCUAUUCUUGAGGGAAGUAGAGGCAGGCGGAAUUCCUAGUGUAGCGGUGAAAUGCGUAGAUAUUAGGAGGAACACCAGUGGCGAAGGCGGCCUGCUGGGCUUUUACUGACGCUGAGGCUCGAAAGUGUGGGGAGCAAACCGGAAUAGAUACCCUUGUAGUC
rnacentral:rRNA from 1 species